AUCAUAGUUCCCUGGGAACCUUAUUAAGAUGCAGAUUCUGAUUUAGAAGGUAGGAAGUAAGCUCCGUAUCUGCUUUUCUAGCAAACUCCCCAGUAAUGCUGAU
rnacentral:pre_miRNA from 1 species